ensembl:lncRNA
AUUUUACAAUCUUCAGUGAUCCAUUGAGUUGGGACUGUCUAGAUUCCAGAAGAGUACUGAUAGCACCUAGGACCAAAUUUUCAUUGGGCACUGACGACAAGGAUGAGAAUACCAAUAUGGUUGUGACUGUUGCUGCACCAGUCACAUUUGUUGACAAUGUUUUGGGUAUGUUUGAAGUUUCUGGUUGCAAACUUGAAGUACUUUGAAGUGUUGCAGAUGCAUCUGCUUUUGUUGCAUUGUUUAGAGGUGUAGUAUUGCUAGAAAGAGUUUCAGCUGGUGUUGUUUUGAUUGAUGAUUGACUUGGAAUUGUAGAUGCUGGGGAUGUUGAUGCAUUUGUGUUUGAAACUGAUGUUAUUGGAGCUAUUGGAAAUUCUGCUGCACUGGUGAGACCUGUAUUAAUUCCAGUUGUAGUUGUUGAUGCAGUUGUAGUUUCUGAAUCCAUGUUUGGGAUUGGAGUUGUUUUGGUUGAAAGUGCAAGUGUGGCUGGAGCAGAAGAUGUGUUGGUAAAAGCUACAGUUGUUCUUAAAAGAUCUCCUGUUGUUACUUGAAAUGCAGUUGUUGUUUGAGCUGCAGUUGAACUUGGAAUAGUGGCUGUUGUUGUGGUUGGAGCUGUAGUUGAGAUAUCAGCUGGAACUGUAGUGGUGGGAAGAACAGUCAUGGUUGUAAUGGGUGUAGUUGGGGUUCUUGGAGGUUCAGUUGUUUUUAUUGGAGUUAAAGUUGGGGAUAUAGUUACAUGUGAUGAUGAGAUAGGCAUAAUUGUUACAGCAAUAGUUACAGUCUCCGGAGACACAGUUGUGAUAAUUGGAGGUGCAUUUGUUGUGGUAAGGAGUCCUGCUUGGCUUAGAGCUGGAGCUGUAUUAGUGAAAGCAAUAGUUGUGGUUGAUAGAGGUGCAGUUGUUAUUCGGAAUGCAGUUGUUGUUGCCGCUGUAGGUGUGUUUGUGCCUGGAAUUGAAGUUGAGGUUUGAGAUGGAUUUUCUGUUGUGGGAUAGUUAUUCGUAGAAGAGGAAGCUGUAAUGGUGGAUGUUGCAGGUGCAGGAGUACUUUCUGAAGUUGUAGACAUUGUUGGUGAAGUAAGAGUUGAGGUUUCAGUAGUUGUGGCUGGGGUUAAACUUGAUGUAGUAGUUGAAUAUUCCAUCAUGGUUGUGGAAUCUGUGGUUACAGCAGGUGAAGUUAUACUUUCUGAAUUUGUGUUCGGACCUUUUGAUGUUGUACUUGCAGCCUUAGGUGUGGUUUGAUCUGAUGUAGAAGUGGAAGGAAUGGUUGUGGUGAUGGAAGCUGUAGUUGUGGUUGUUGCAAGAGAAGCUGCUGUUGUCGUUGAAGCUACAGUGGUAGUUGUGGACGUUGUAGUUAUCGAUGUUGUUGGUGCAGUUGUGGUUUCUGAAGUCAUUUUGGUGAUUGUGAGUGUUUCAGUAGUUGCAGGUGCAAGUGGCAUUGUGGUUUGAGCUGUUGUUGCACUUGGAGCUUCAGAUGACAUUGGAGCUGAUGUCAUAGAGGAAGGUACAUUUAUAGAUGAGGAAGCUGUAGUUACUGAUGUUGUUACAGGUGCAGAUGUUUCUGAAGAUGUAGCCAUUGUUGUUGAAAUUACAGCUGUUGAUGUUGUUGGAUAAUUAGUUGCUGUACCUCGAGAUUCAGAUGAGGUUGGAGAUGAUGAUGUAGUAGUAGAAUGCACUAUCGCAGCUGAGGAAGCUGUAGAUGUUGAAGAUGCAGUUGUAAUUUCGGAAGCUGUAGUCACAGUAGUGGAUGGCCCCACUGUGGCUGUGGAAGCUGCAGUUGUGCUUGCUGCAGGUGUAGUUGUACUUUCUGAUGUUGUAGGCAUUGUUGUAGACGUAAGAGUUGUUGCUCCUGAAGUCACAACAGUGGAUGUGAGAGCUCCAGUAGAUGUGGUUGCAAGCAGCAAUGUGGUUUUAGAUGUUGUUGUACUUGGAGCUUCAGAUGACAUUGGAGCUGAUGUCAUAGAGGAAGGUACAGUUGUAGGUGAGGAAGCUGUAGUUACUGAUGUUGUUACAGGUGCAGUUGUUUCUGAAGAUGUAGGCACUGUUGUUGAAGUGAGAGUUGAGGAUUCUGAAGUUACAGCUGUUGAUGUUGUUGGAGUGUUCUUUGCUGUAAAUAUAGUUGAUGAAGCCGUAGUCAUAGCUUCUGCCGUUGUACUCUCUGAAGUUGUAGGCACCACUGUCGAAAUGAUAGGUGUGGUUUCUGUUCUCACAACCGUGGUUGUGGGAAUAUAGGUUUUUGAGGAUACUGUAGUUACUGAUGUUACAGUUGCAGUAGAUUCUGAAGAUGUAGGCUUAGCUGUUGAAGUAAGAGUUAUGGAUUCAGUACUCACAACUGUGGUUGUGGGAAUUUCAGUAGUUGAGGAUGCUGUAGUUACUGAUUUUGUUAGAGGUGUAGUUGUUUCUGAAGAUGUAGCUAUAACUGUUGAAGUAGGAGUUGUAGAUUCAGAAGUUACAAAUGUUGAUGUUGUUGGAUUGUUCGUUUUUGUAGGUGUGGUUGAUGAAGCUGUAGUCGUGGUUUCUGCUGUUGUACUCUCUGAAGUUGUAGGCACCACUGUUGAAGUAACAGAUGUGGUUUCUGAACUCACAGCUGUGCUUGUAGGAAUUUCAGUAGUUGAGGAUGCUGUAGUUACUGACGUUGUUACAGGUGCAGUUGUUUCUAUAGAUGUAGGCAAUGUUGUUGAAGUGAGAGUUGUGGAUUCAGAAGUUGCAGCUAUUGAUCUUGUUGGAUUGUUUGUUGUUGUAGGAGUGGUUGAUGAAGCUGUAGUCGUGGUUUCUACUGUUGUACUCUCUGAAGUUGUAGGCACCACUGUUGAAGUAGUAGAUGUGGAUUCUGAACUCAAAACUGUGGUUGUGGGAAUUUCAAUAGUUGAGGAUGCUGUAGUUACUGAUGUUGUUACAGGUGCAGUUGUUUCUAUAGAUGUAGGCAAUGCUGUUGAACUGAGAGUUGUGGAUUCUGAAGCUACAGCUGUUGUUGUUGUUGGAGUGUUUGUUGUUGAAGGAGUGGUUGAUGAAGCUGUAGUCGUGGUUUCUACUGUUGUACUCUCUGAAGUUGUAGGCACCACUGUUGAAGUAGUAGAUGUGGAUUCUGUACUCACAACUGUGGUUGUGGGAAUGUCAGUAGUUGAGGAUGCUGUAGUUAUAACUGUUGAAGUAAGAGUUGUAGAUUCUGAAGCUACAGCUGUUGUUGUUGUUGGAUUGUUUGUUGUUGAAGGAGUGGUUGAUGAAGCUGUAGUCGUGGUUUCUACUGUUGUACUCUCUGAAGUUGUAGGCACCACUGCUGAAGUAGUAGAUGUGGAUUCUGUACUCACAACUGUGGUUGUGGGAAUUUCAGUAGUUGAGGAUGCUGUAGUUAUAACUGUUGAAGUAAGAGUUGUAGAUUCAGAAGUUACAGAUGUUGAUGUUGUUGGAUUGUUUGUUGUUGUAGGAGUGGUUGAUGAAGCUGUAGUCGUGGUUUCUACUGUUGUACUCUCUGAAGUUGUAGGCACCACUGUUGAAGUAGUAGAUGUGGAUUCUGUACUCACAACUGUGGUUGUGGGAAUUUCAGUAGUUGAGGAUGCUGUAGUUACUGAUUUUGUUAGAGGUGUAGUUGUUUCUGAAGAUGUAGCUAUAACUGUUGAAGUAGGAGUUGUAGAUUCAGAAGUUACAAAUGUUGAUGUUGUUGGAUUGUUCGUUUUUGUAGGUGUGGUUGAUGAAGCUGUAGUCAUGGUUUCUCCUGUUGUACUCUCUGAAGUCGUAGGCACCACUGUUGAAGUAAUGGAUGUGGUUUCUGAACUCACAACUGUGGUUGUGGGAAUUUCAGUACUUGAGGAUGCUGUAGUUACUGAUGUUGUUACAGGUGCAGUUGUUUCUAUAGAUGUAGGCACUGUUGUUGAAGUGAGAGUUGUGGAUUCUGAAGUUGCAGCUGUUGAUGUUGUUGGAUUGUUUGUUGUUGUAGGAGUGGUUGAUGAAGCUGUAGUCGUUGUUUCUACUGUUGUACUCUCUGAAGUUGUAGGCACCACUGUUGAAGUAAUAGAUGUGGUUUCUAAACUCACCACUAUGGUUGUGGGAAUUUCAGUAGUUGAGGAUGCUGUAGUUACUGAUGUUGUUAGAGGUGUAGUUAUUUCUGAAGAUGUAGGUAUAAUUGUUGAAGUAAGACUUGUAGAUUCAGAAGUUACAGAUGUUGAUGUUGUUGGAUUGGUCGUUGUUGUUGGUGUGGUUGAUGAAACUGUAGUCGUGGUUUCUGAUGUUGUACUCUCUGAAGUUGUAGGCACCACUGUUGAAGAAACAGAUGUGGUUUCUGAACUUACAACUGUGGUUGUGGGAAUUUCAGUAGUUGAGGAUGCUGUAGUUACUGAUGUUGUUACAGGUGCAGUUGUUUCUAUAGAUGUAGGCACUGUUGUUGAAGUGAGAGUUGUGGAUUCUGAAGUUGCAGCUGUUGAUGUUGUUGGAUUGUUCGUUGUUGUAGUUGUGGUUGAUGAAGCUGUAGUCGUGGUUUCUGCUGUUGUACUCUCUGAAGUUGUAGGCACCACUGUUGAAGUAAUAGAUGUGGUUUCUGUACUCACAACUGUGGUUGUGGGAAUGUCAGUAGUUGAGAGUGCUGUAGUUACUGAAGUUGUUAAAGGUGCAGUUGUUUCUGAAGAUGUAGGUGCUGUCGUUGUAGUAAGAAUUGUGGAUUCUGAAGUUACAACUGUUGAUGUUGUUGGUUCGUUUGUUGUUGUAGGAGCAGUUGAUGAAGCUGUAGUCGUGGUUUCUACUGUUGUACUCUCUGAAGUUGUAGGCAUCACUAUUGAAGUAGUAGAUAUGGAUUCUGUACCAGCAAUUGUGGUUGUGGGAAUUUCAGUUGUUGAGGAUGCUGUAGUUACUGAUGUUGUUAGAGGUGUAGUUGUUUCUGAAGAUGUAAGUAUAACUGUUGAAGUAAGAGUUGUAGAUUCAGAAGUUACAGAUGUUGUUGUUGUUGGAUUGUUCGUUGUUGUUGGUGUGGUUGAUGAAACUGUAGUCGUGGUUUCUGCUGUUGUACUCUCUGAAGUUGUAGGCACCACUGUUGAAGAAACAGAUGUGGUUUCUGAACUUACAACUGUGGUUGUGGGAAUUUCACUAGUUGAGGAUGCUGUAGUUACUGAUGUUGUUACAGGUGCAGUUGUUUCUAUAGAUGUAGCCACUGUUGAUGAAGUGAGAACUGUAGAUUCUGAAGUUGCAGCUGUUGAUGUUGUUGGAUUGUUAGUUGUUGUAGGAGUGGUUGAUGAAGCUGUAGUCGUUGUUUCUACUGUUGUACUCUCUGAAGUUGUAGGCACAACUGUUGAAGUAAUAGAUGUGGUUUCUAAACUCACCACUGUGGUUUUUGGAAUUUCAGUAGUUGAGGAUGCUGUAGUUACUGAUGUUGUUAGAGGUGUAGUUGUUUCUGAAGAUGUAGGUAUAACUGUUGAAGUAAGAGUUGUAGAUUCAGAAGUUACAGAUGUUGAUGUUGUUGGAUUGUUCCUUGUUGUUGGUGUGGUUGAUGAAACUGUAGUCGUGGUUUCUGCUGUUGUACUCUCUGAAGUUGUAGGCACCACUGUUGAAGAAACAGAUGUGGUUUCUGAACUUACAACUGUGGUUGUGGGAAUUUCAGUAGUUGAGGAUGCUGUAGUUACUGAUGUUGUUACAGGUGCAGUUGUUUCUAUAGAUGUAGGCACUGUUGUUGAAGUGAGAGUUGUGGAUUCUGAAGUUGCAGCUGUUGAUGUUGGAUUGUUCGUUGUUGUAGUUGUGGUUGAUGAAGCUGUAGUCGUGGUUUCUGCUGUUGUACUCUCUGAAGUUGUAGGCACCGCUGUUGAAGUAAUAGAUGUGGUUUCUGUACUCACAACUGUGGUUGUCGGAAUUUCAGUAGUUGAGGAUGCUGUAGUUUCUGAAGUUGUUAAAGGUGCAGUUGUUUCUGAAGAUGUAGGCGCUGUCGUUGAAAUUAGAGUUGUGGAUUCUGAAGUUACAGCUGUUGAUGUUGUUGGAUUGUUUGUUGUUGUAGGAGUGGUUGAUGAAGCUGUAGUCGUGGUUUCUACUGUUGUACUUUCUGAAGUUGUAGGCAUCACUGUUGAAGUAAUAGAUGUGGUUUCUGUACUCACAACUGUGGUUCUGGGAAUUUCAGUAGUUGAGGAUGCUGUAGUUACUGAUGUUGUUAGAGGUGUAGUUGUUUCUGAAGAUGUAGGUGUAACUGUUGAAGUAAGAGUUGUAGAUUCAGAAGUUACAGAUGUUGAUGUUGUUGGAUUGUUCGUUGUUGUAGUUGUGGUUGAUGAAGCUGUAGUCGUGGUUUCUGCUGUUGUACUCUCUGAAGUUGUAGGCACCACUGUUGAAGUAAUAGAUGUGGUUUCUGUACUCACAACUGUGGUUGUGGGAAUUUCAGUAGUUGAGGAUGCUGUAGUUUCUGAAGUUGUUAAAGGUGCAGUUGUUUCUGAAGAUGUAGGCGCUGUCGUUGAAAUGAGAGUUGUGGAUUCUGAAGUUACAGCCGUUGAUGUUGUUAGAUCGUUUGUUGUUGUAGGAGUGGUUGAUGAAGCUGUAGUCGUGGUUUCUACUGUUGUACUCUCUGAAGUUGUAUGCACCACUGUUGAAGUAAUAGAUGUGGUUUCUGUAC